ensembl:lncRNA
AAAAAAAAAGAACCACAAAACCAACAAAUCCCAACCCCUGAAAGAAGGACUAAAUUCUUCUUAAUGAUGCCGAAGGUGAAGUUGUUUCAUAUUGGACAAAAUGGGCAUUAUUCUUUGUCAUGUAAAUUCCCGUUCACUUGACCUCAGGUUAAGGGAUAAUGGUCACUCGGAGCUCACACUAAAACUUAUUUAAAUCAGAGCUGAAGAAUCAUUUCGCGAAAUCCGCGUAAUGAAGUGAAGAGGACUUAGAGAGCCUCAACCAGAAAAUACGAGUUUCAUCAGAUGAAACAGUAAGAUGGCCAAAAGGUACUCCUUCCCACAGCCUCCCAGGACUGCUACCAGAUACAUGUGACGACUGACAAGAGAUAAGUUAAAAUAAAUAACUGGAAGUAAAUGAAAACAUGGAAACAGUCAAGGAGUCAUAGGACCAAAGAGCAUGAUACUCCAGAGGAUGCAGAGUCGACCUGAGUUAAGAUAUGUGCUGUGAGUGAAAAAGCUUGAUUCAGUUUUUCUCCUGAAGAGAAGGUGGCUGCUUCAGCUCUGCUGCACCUCAGGAUGUGUUGUACCUAGGCAAGUCUCACAUCAUUUCAUGUCCUGCUAUCAAAAGUUUCAUUGCCUUUAUGCUACUUAAAAAAGCUAUGUUAAAAUGCACACACAUAUGUAGGAUGAUUAAAUAACCUUUUGUUCCCUAACUCUAAAACAUAUCAUUUUUUUUCCCUUUGCUACUAUGUGGAUCAAGCAGCUCUAGAGUCUAUGAAGUGAGCAUAAUUUAUUCCUGACUUGUGCUGGAAUAAUUUAUGUUCUUGAGCCUUUGCAGAUGUAUAGUCACUAGAGAGCUGCCUGCUUACGGGAGUUUUUACACAUAUUUUGUCUAAAUCAGAGCUCCAAAUGCAAUGUCGGAGAUGCAGGGAGUUUGUGUGGAUUUGUAGCACUCCCUGGAGGACUCUGUGUCUAUAAACCAAUAAACAUUUCACAAUCCUCAGCAAGUGAAGAUUUUCAUAAUUUCUGAUGUAUGCAGUAUUGACCAUGCUUCUCAUUUUAAUUUCAGUAAUAUUCCAUAGGUAAUAAGUAAUUGGAAAAUAAAUUCUUGCAGGUGAACGCUAAAAGCAAAAAUUAGUCUUUCUAUACUUAGCUGCUGCCAUUUUCUUAUUAUAAACUAAAGAGGCGAAACAAAAUAAUCAUUUAUAAACAAAACACAUCUCACACUGGUUGAAAACUACAGUGAGAUGCAGAUAUUUUGUGGCCAAAACAUUCAAAAAGAAGGCAGGAAGAAACAGCCAUCUCAUUUCUAUAUAGAUUGAUUAUUUUUUCUUUGCAUAUGUAGUUUGACCAUCACAGGUUCAGCUGAAAAUAGUUAAUUCUUCAGAAAACUGACUGUGCCAACCUGUAGGCAGAUGUGAAGGUUAAAAUUCCUAAUUGUUGCUCUGAAAUCAGUUGAUACAAAGGAUGAUUAAAUACAGGGUCAAGACUUCAAAUUUAUUCCUUAGUCAGUAAGAUGUUAAUUUGGUAAGAAAGUGACUACAAAAUGUUUUCUGAAAGAGUCAGAACCCAUUGCUGCAUGUGGAGAACUGCAAACAUACCGACAGCAUGUACGGCUGGUGUUUACAGAGGUCUAUGAAUAAUAAAUAAUCUAGUUAAAUAACCAUUGUUAGAGCUAUGCAAACAAGAGAGCAAAUAAAUCAAGACCUCCUGCUCAUGCAUAGAUACCAACCACAGUACUUUUUCAUUUUUUUUUCUUUGUUUUCUUUGUUUGCUUAAAUAGGAGAGACAAAUAGCGGAUGCAGGUGUAAUCAGCUAAAAAUUGUGAAGCUAGUAAGAAGUGUUUUGGAAAAGAUCACCAAGUGGAUCAAUCCCCCUAUCAGAAACAGUCAGCAGGGGAAAGCAGUUUGCACCAGUAUAUGUACCCUGCCAUUCAGACUGUAUCAAUUUGUUUCUGCAACUGGCAUAAUGUGGCACAGUUCAGAGAGAAUCUCACAUAUGACUGCUGACAUACAGACAUACAGUGCUGGAAGUAAAGGAGAUUCAUGAGCAAAAGUGAAAAGGCUGCUUUUUUUUUUUUUCACUUUUUUUUUUUUCUCCUUCAUAUGGGAAUUCAACUGUUUUAUUUUGUAUAGUGUUAUAUGUAAAAUCCAUUCUUUUAAACUGAUAUUACUACAUUCAGUGCUUAUAGUAUUCUGUUUAUUGUUUCUCUGUGUGAUUGUCUAUCUGUGCAGAAUUUCAUAUGAAAAAAUGAAAUACAUGGAUUACAUAUCAAGUACCUGCUUCCUUGCGUUAUCCUAUCCAGAAAUAAUAAUGUUUUUUAUGUUGAAAGAUGGUUGGGAAAAGGUUAAUUCUGUAUCUGGAUAAGUAAGAUACAUUUAUUUCCUAAUUCUGUAUUUCAUUUCUGGGAAUUUCUAUGAUAUAACCC